rnacentral:rRNA from 1 species
UACGUAGGGUGCAAGCGUUGUCCGGAAUUAUUGGGCGUAAAGAGCUCGUAGGCGGUUUGUCGCGUCUGCUGUGAAAACUCGGGGCUCAACCCCGAGCUUGCAGUGGGUACGGGCAGACUAGAGUGCGGUAGGGGAGACUGGAAUUCCUGGUGUAGCGGUGGAAUGCGCAGAUAUCAGGAGGAACACCAAUGGCGAAGGCAGCUCGCUGGGACGGUACUGACGCUGAGGCGCGAAAGCGUGGGGAGCGAUCCGG